ACCGCAACGUCGCACACCCGUACGGCCGGCCCCCCCCCCGACCCCGUCCUCUCCCCCAACCACCGGGGCCCCUACCCGUGCCCGCGUUCCCAGGCGCCCACCCCCACCCCCCGCCUGCCACCACCACCACCACCACCACCGAGGGCAGAGAGAGGGCUCCGACGGGAAGCGUGGCGCCAAUCGGGUAGGGGACACGACAGAGGCAUAUUCAAGAUCUUCUUAUCCUCUUCUUUCCCUUGAAAAUGCAACUCUGCUGCUGAUAGAUUGCCCUUGCUCCAAAUAUUCAAAAAAUUCAGGGAUAUCGAGAUUCCACAUUGCACAUCCAGUUCUUUUAGCUUUUAAGGUUCUUGCUGAAUUCUUCAUUCUACAGUAG
rnacentral:lncRNA from 1 species